GAUGAAGAACGUAGCGAAAUGCGAUAAGUAAUGUGAAUUGCAGAAUUCAGUGAAUCAUCAAAUCUUUGAACGCAUCUUGCGCUCCUUGGUAUUCCGAGGAGCAUGCCUGUUUGAGUGUCAUUCAACUUGUCGACCACUUUGGAAGUUGUUUUUCAAUGUGGCUUGGAUGUGGGGGAUUUGCAGGCUUUUCUUCUGUCUGCUCUCCUGAAAUGCAUUAGUGGUGUCUUAAAGGGUUCACAACCACAGGUGUGAUAAAUUAUCUAUGCCUUUGGUAUGAACAGAACUGUGCUGCUUCUAAAUGAAAUGAGCCCUUGCAGGCUCUUUCUUUUGAUGAAUUUGACCUCAAAUCAGGUAGGACUACCCGCUGAACUUAAGCAUAUCAAUAAGCGGAGGA
rnacentral:misc_RNA from 1 species